rnacentral:rRNA from 1 species
CAGUCGCCGCGGUAAUACGUAGGUGGCAAGCGUUGUCCGGAAUUAUUGGGCGUAAAGGGCUCGCAGGCGGUUUCUUAAGUCUGAUGUGAAAGCCCCCGGCUCAACCGAGGAGGGUCAUUGGAAACUGGGAAACUUGAGUACAGAAGAGGAGAGUGGAAUUCCACGUGUAGCGGUGAAAUGCGUAGAGAUGUGGAGGAACACCAGUGGCGAAGGCGACUCUCUGGUCUGUAACUGACGCCGAGGAGCGAAAGCGUGGGGAGCGAACAGGAUUAGAUACCCCCGUAGUCCCUGUCUCUUAUAC